rnacentral:rRNA from 1 species
ACGCUGGCGGCGUGCUUAACACAUGCAAGUCGAACGAACCUUCGGGUUAGUGGCGGACGGGUGAGUAACGCGUGGGAAUCUGCCCUCAGGAGGGGGAUAACGGUUGGAAACGGCCGCUAAUACCCCAUAUGCCGAGAGGUGAAAUGAAUUUCGCCUGAGGAUGAGCCCGCGUCUGAUUAGCUAGUUGGUGAGGUAAGAGCUCACCAAGGCAUCGAUCAGUAGCUGGUCUGAGAGGAUGAUCAGCCACACUGGGACUGAGACACGGCCCAGACUCCUACGGGAGGCAGCAGUGGGGAAUUUUCCGCAAUGGGCGAAAGCCUGACGGAGCAACGCCGCGUGAGGGAUGAAGGCCUCUGGGCUGUAAACCUCUUUUAUCAAGGAAGAAGAUCUGACGGUACU